GACGAACGCUGGCGGCGUGCUUAACACAUGCAAGUCGAACGGAAAGGCCCUGCUUGCAGGGUACUCGAGUGGCGAACGGGUGAGUAACACGCGGGUGAUCUGCCCUGCACUUCGGGAUAAGCCUGGGAAACUGGGUCUAAUACCGGAUAGGAGCCAUCUUUAGUGUGAUGGUUGGAAAGUUUUUUCGGUGUAGGAUGAGCUCGCGGCCUAUCAGCUUGUUGGUGGGGUAAUGGCCUACCAAGGCGGCGGCGGGUAGCCGGCCUGCGGGGGUGGACGGCCACCUUGGGGCUGAGGUGCGGCCCAGGCUCCGACGGGGGGGCGCAGGGGGGAAUAUUGCCCCAUGGGCGCAAGGCUGGUGCAGCGACGCCGCGGGGGGGAAGACGGCCUUUGGGUUGUAAACUCCUUUCGCAAGGGACGAAGCUUUUUGUGACGGUACCUAGAGAAGAAGCACCGGCUAACUACGUG
rnacentral:rRNA from 1 species